rnacentral:rRNA from 1 species
GACGGAGGGUGCUAGCGUUGUUCGGAAUCACUGGGCGUAAAGGGCGCGUAGGCGGCCAGGCAAGUCGGCUUGUGAAAGCCCGGGGCUCAACCCCGGAGGUGCGGCCGGGACUGCUUGGCUGGAGGCCGGAAGAGGAGGGUGGAAUACCCAGUGUAGAGGUGAAAUUCGUAGAUAUUGGGUGGAACACCGGUGGCGAAAGCGGCUCUCUGGUCCGGCCCUGACGCUGAGGCGCGAAAGCGUGGGGAGCAAACAGG